CCGCUGAACUUAAGCAUAUCAAUAGG
rnacentral:rRNA from 1 species